CUAAGUUUGUAUCCCUGGGGUAGCGAGCGUGGCGGCGUGCUAUACAUGCCAGUCGAGCGGACAGAUGGGAGCUUGCUCUGAUGUCAGCGGCGGACGGGUGAGUAACACGUGGGUAACCUGCCUGUAAGACUGGGAUAACUCCGGGAAACCGGGGCUAAUACCGGAUGCUUGAUUGAACCGGCAUGGUUCAAUUAUAAAAGGUGGCUUUUAGCUAUCACUUACAGAUGGACCGCGGCGCAUUAGCUAGUUGGUGAGGUAACGGCUCAUCAAGGCGACGAUGCGUAGCCGACCUGAGAGGGUGAUCGGCCACACUGGGACUGAGACACGGCCCAGACUCCUACGGGAGGCAGCAGUAGGGAAUCUUCCGCAAUGGACGAAAGUCUGACGGAGCAACGCCGCGUGAGUGAUGAAGGUUUUCGGAUCGUAAAACUCUGUUGUUAGGGAAGAACAAGUACCGUUCGAAUAGGGCGGUACCUUGACGGUACCUAACCAGAAAGCCACGGCUAACUACGUGCCAGCAGCCGCGGUAAUACGUAGGUGGCAAGCGUUGUCCGGAAUUAUUGGGCGUAAAGCGCGCGCAGGCGGUUUCUUAAGUCUGAUGUGAAAGCCCCCGGCUCAACCGGGGAGGGUCAUUGGAAACUGGGGAACUUGAGUGCAGAAGAGGAGAGUGGAAUUCCACGUGUAGCGGUGAAAUGCGUAGAGAUGUGGAGGAACACCAGUGGCGAAGGCGACUCUCUGGUCUGUAACUGACGCUGAGGCGCGAAAGCGUGGGGAGCGAACAGGAUUAGAUACCCUGGUAGUCCACGCCGUAAACGAUGAGUGCUAAGUGUUAGAGGGUUUCCGCCCUUUAGUGCUGCAGCACAACGCAGUAUAAAGCACUCCGCCUUGGGAUCUCCCUCCAUU
rnacentral:rRNA from 1 species